CACGUAGGGCGCAAGCGUUUGUCCGGAAUUAUUGGGCGUAAAGAGCUCGUAGGCGGUCUGUUGCGUCCGCUGUGAAAACUCGGGGCUUAACCCCGAGCCUGCAGUGGAUACGGGCAGACUAGAGGUAGGUAGGGGAGAAUGGAAUUCCCGGUGUAGCGGUGAAAUGCGCAGAUAUCGGGAGGAACACCGGUGGCGAAGGCGGUUCUCUGGGCCUUACCUGACGCUGAGGAGCGAAAGUGUGGGGGAGCGAACAGG
rnacentral:rRNA from 1 species